GACGAACGCUGGCGGCGUGCUUAACACAUGCAAGUCGAACGGAAAGGCCCUGCUUUUGUGGGGUGCUCGAGUGGCGAACGGGUGAGUAACACGUGAGUAACCUGCCCUUGACUUUGGGAUAACUUCAGGAAACUGGGGCUAAUACCGGAUAGGAGCUCCUGCUGCAUGGUGGGGGUUGGAAAGUUUCGGCGGUUGGGGAUGGACUCGCGGCUUAUCGGCUUGUUGGUGGGGUAGUGGCUUACCAAGGCUUUGACGGGUAGCCGGCCUGAGAGGGUGACCGGGCACAUGGGGACUGAGAGACGGACCAGAAGCGUACGUGAGGCAGCAGGGGGGAAUAUUGCACAAUGGGCGGAAGCCUGAUGCAGAAACGCCGGGUGCGGGAUGACGGCCUUCGGGUUGUAAACAGCUGUCGACUGUGACGAAGCGUGAGUGACGGUAAUGGGUAAAGAAGCACCGGCUAACUACGUG
rnacentral:rRNA from 1 species